rnacentral:rRNA from 1 species
AGUGAACGCUGGCGGUAGGCCUAACACAUGCAAGUCGAACGGCAGCACAGUAAGAGCUUGCUCUUACGGGUGGCGAGUGGCGGACGGGUGAGGAAUACAUCGGAAUCUACUUUUUCGUGGGGGAUAUCGUAGGGAAACUUACGCUAAUACCGCAUACGACCUACGGGUGAAAGCAGGGGAUCUUCGGACCUUGCGCGAUUGAAUGAGCCGAUGUCGGAUUAGCUAGUUGGCGGGGUAAAGGCCCACCAAGGCGACGAUCCGUAGCUGGUCUGAGAGGAUGAUCAGCCACACUGGAACUGAGACACGGUCCAGACUCCUACGGGAGGCAGCAGUGGGGAAUAUUGGACAAUGGGCGCAAGCCUGAUCCAGCCAUACCGCGUGGGUGAAGAAGGCCUGCGGGUUGUAAAGCCCUUUUGUUGGGAAAGAAAAGCAGCAGGUUAAUACCCCGCUGUUCUGACGGUACCCAAAGAAUAAGCACCGGCUAACUUCGU